UACGGAGGAUGCAAGCGUUAUCCGGAAUGAUUGGGCGUAAAGCGUCCGCAGGUGGUUUUGUAUGUCUGCUGUUAAAGCGUGCGGCUUAACCGCAUAAGGGCGGUAGAAACUACAAGACUAGAGUACGUUCGGGGCAGAGGGAAUUCCCAGUGUAGCGGUGAAAUGCGUAGAGAUUGGGAAGAACAUCGGUGGCGAAAGCGCUCUGCUAGGCCUGUACUGACACUGAGGGACGAAAGCUAGGGGAGCGAAUGGG
rnacentral:rRNA from 1 species